rnacentral:rRNA from 1 species
CUCGAAAGAGAGCCGUAACACAGGUGCUGCAUGGCUGUCGUCAGCUCGUGCGUGAGAUGUUGGGUUAAGUCCCGCAACGAGCCGCAACCCUUGUCAUUAGUUGCUACAUUCAGUUGGGCACUCUAAUGAGACUGCCGGUGACAAACCGGGAGGAAGGUGGGGAUGACGUCAAGUCCUCAUGGCCCUUAUAGGUGGGGCUACACACGUCAUACAAUGGAUGGUACAAAGGGUCGCCAACCCGCGAGGGGGAGCCAAUCCCAUAAAGCCAUUCGUAGUCCGGAUCGCAGUCUGCAACUCGACUGCGUGAAGUCGGAAUCGCUAGUAAUCGUGGAUCAGAAUGUCACGGUGAAUACGUUCCCGGGUCUU